UACGGAGGAUGCGAGCGUUAUCCGGAUUUAUUGGGUUUAAAGGGUGCGCAGGCGGGAGAUUAAGUCGGUGGUGAAAUUUUGCAGCUCAACUGUAAAAGUGCCAUUGAUACUGGUUUUCUUGAGUGUGGAUGAAGUAGGCGGAAUUUGUGGUGUAGCGGUGAAAUACAUAGAUAUCACGAGGAACUCCGAUUGCGAAGGCAGCUUACUAAGCUACUACUGACGCUCAGGCACGAAGGCGUGGGGAGCAAACAGGAUUAGAUACCCCU
rnacentral:rRNA from 1 species